UACGGAGAGUGCAAACGUUGUUCGGAUUCACUGGGCGUAAAGGGCACGUAGGCGGCUCGGCAAAUCGGUCGUGGAAUCUCGACGCUUACCGUCGAAACGGCGGCCGAAAAUACCGGGCUCGAGGGCGUGAGGGGUCACUGGAACUCCUGGUGAAGCGGUGAAAUGCGUAGAUAUCAGGAGGAACACCAAUUGCGAAGGCAGCUCGCUGGGACGUUACUGACGCUGAGACGCGAAAGCGUGGGGAGCAAACAGG
rnacentral:rRNA from 1 species